CCUAGUUAGUACUUGCGCAGUGUUGAAGAUGGGAGACAGUGGAGUUUGAUGUUAUAUCAGGAGCGAAGGGUCUAGAAUCAGCCAACGUGAGAGGACUAGAUGGAAGCCCUGUACAAGGAAGCAAAUAUGCUCCGGACCGCCGAAGAAACUACUACCGCAACUAUCGAGUUACCCGUCGUGGGAGACGCCGUCCCCGUGGUGGGCCCGACUCCGCUACCAACGGAGAGGUUAAACCAAAGGAGGAUGAUAAACAGAAGAGGCGACCCCGCCGAAGACGACGUCCCAGAUAUAGGCGCAGGUCUGAUGAGGAACGCCCUGAGGGCGAUAAGCAAGAAGAACGAGAUGGUGAUCAUGAAGGAGGAGAAGAGGGAGAAGAGCGUCCGGCACAGAAUCCUCGCCGUCAUCGUCCUUACCGCAGAUUCUAUAGGCACCCUCGUAGAGAGGACGGAGCGAGAGGAAAGUGGUCGAUGGGAAGAGCUGAAAGACUGCUUGAUUCGUACUGUUGUUUUGAAGACAAAGAAAGGGCUUCUAAGGAGACCUGAACAGAGGCUACCUCGUCUGGAAGCAAGCCGUACUCAAUUUGGAAGGGUGAAUUAGGUGAAAACGGAGCUUACGGUGGAGAGUCCUUACUCGAAAGGUCAAGAAAAGGGCGAAGAAGAAACAAUUUACACAGAAAUCAGUGUCAAGUCUUCAAAGUAUUGGAGAGGUGGGGAGGAUGUUCGGGCCUGGACCUGCAGUGGGAGGAUCUCACGCCCCCCAGUGAGAAUGGACUUUUAACGGGACCACCCUACUGAGGACAUUUUUUGUUGUGGUACUAUUAUGGUAUAUAAAAACAUCUGCUUUUCGCUUGAAGUUAUUUUAGUAGUCUGAACAAAAUAUUUUAGUAGUCGGAACAAAACAAUUUAGUAGUCUGAACAGAACACCACGCACGCACUUUGCUAAGAACAACUUUCUUUAACUUCCUUCGACACUAGCGCCCAUUUUAAAAGCGCUUGUGAUAUACAAAACAACUUGCUGCCGUCUUGUAAACUGUUUCAUAAAUUGUAGAGUAACAGUAAUAGGAGCCCGGCGUAACACGAAAAAGUUUACCUUCUCCACAUUUUGCACCCUAUUUUGCGUCCCGCAGGCUGAAAAUCCACAAUGAUGACCAAACAUCUCCCAAGGAGAAAAAAGAAAAUGGCGGGCUUCUGGUGAAGCAUCUGACUAUACGUAAUCCUCGAUGAACGUUGAAUCAUUUCUGCCCUAUGAUCCACUUCCGGAAACUCGACUAGGAGCAUGACUUCCGCCGUUGCAGCUUUUGUUUCCGCCGUAAAAGUUUUUGUUUGUGCCGUGGAGUUUUUUUUUGUACCGUGGAGUUUUUGUUUGUGUCGUGGAGUUUUUGUUUAUGCCGGGGAGUUUUUGUUUGUGCCGUGGAGUUUAUAUUUGUGCCGUGGAGUUUUUGUUUGUGCUGUGGAGUUUUUGUUUGUGCCGUGGCACCCGUGGGCCACCGUACUGUUCUUUUAUUUUAAACGACGAUAAUGGUCCUGUUUUUUCCGAUGAGGGGCCAUGAAUGACUGUUGUAGUGUUGAGGAGAAAUAUUGGAUUUAUCGCCCUACGUGCGACGAGGAAGUAGAGCCAUGUGCAACCGAGGAAGAGGCCGUCGCUUUUGAGGAAAACAUUUAAACCUGGCUAGUGAAGAAACGAGGGAGCUAGAGCUUCAAAAGCGGCUUACUUGCGACGCAGAAGUUCGUGAUACAAAUUUUUAGCACAUUUGAUCUUAGGUAAGCUUUUGUAACAGCCAGUUUACCCUUGUUCUUAUUUCCCUGGAAGUUCAAAUCUUUUCCCUUUGUCAUGCAAUGCCUUUAGGCCGUUAUGCAGCGCUUUUCCUUGCGAAGCAGUGGUAUACCAUGGUUUCGAGGAAGAUCAAUAGCCUGUUUAGUUCUAUGAAUUGUGUUUUACUUAUUACAGAUGACUGUGGACUCGUGUUUGUGCAGCAGUUUUCAUCUUCGGAAAAAAAUCAGAAUGCUGAUAAACUUUUACAAAGGACUACUUUUUGUUAUUCUCAGGGAACAAAAGUAUUUUGUCCACACUGUUACUGUGACACCCAGAAACUGUGAACUCUAGAAAUACAUGUACUUAUGUAAUGUCCUUGCAAUUCAAGACAACUGACAGCAGUAGUAGGGAGUUUGCUCACUCUUGAAUUGUGUGUUGAACUAUACACAACUGUCCUGUGAGAAUCAAAUCAAAGAGUUUGUGGCUUUCUUAGUUUCACAGUAAUAAGUAAUCAAGCAGUGUGGUCCUAUAUUUUGCAUGGUUGCAUGGCCUGCUGCAAAUCUGUAGUUCACCACCUUCUCUACCCCCAGAUUGGCCAGGUGGUCUGCCUUCUACAAAUUAAUUGUACUUGAAUGUGCUUCCCAAGAGUUAGAUCAGAGGAAAUAAAUCUUAACCAAGAUUAAAUCAAAAUGAUUAGAAGGUAAUCGUGUUUCUAAACAUUUGGUGAAGCAGGACAAUUCUAAUAUUACUAUUGAGUGAUUCAUUUGUUUAUUUAUUUGAACACUUGUUUAUCCACUGCAUUCUGGGGUUAUCAGUGAUGGAUGGAUGUAGUAAGAAAAACUUCAGAAGGAAUAGUGUCAAGGUCACCAUUAUAAACAAAACACAGUUUUCUUUUGCCUUUGAAUAUAGGCUGACAAGCACAAACACAACUUUUCACUCAGUCAGUACAAGUACCACUGUUUACACAGGGAUUAUUGGAACACUCUUUGAUAUCAUUUAUGCUUUUGUAUGGCUUGCUCUUUUGAUCCCUAGUAGCGAUAUUUCAGCAUUUGUAUUAAAGAAUAAUUGUUCAAUCCUGCACAACACAACCCUUGGGUGGCAAUUCCGGCCUCAAAACGACGAUUACUGACUCUCCUAGAACUAUUCACGUACAACAAUCUCCGUUCAUUUCUAGGUUACGAGCGUGCGCGAAAGUUUAGGGGAUAAUAUGACGUCACAGACUUACGCGCGGCCAUUUCGCAGUUUGGACAAGGGAGGACGUAAAAUCGAGGAAAACAAGUCUAGAAAAAACAAGUCUAUAAAAAACAAACUUUCACUUCAAAUUUUAAUUCCAAAUUUCGUGAGAGUGGUAAGUAGCCAGUGAGGAUUCUAAAAAGUGAAAAAUCUGGCAUACGCUAAAUUUAGUCUCGGUAGCACUUUAGGGCAAUGUUUCAGUUACGCUUGAUAACUUAAAUGUGUGGCCAUGAUGAGAAAUGAUUAUGAGAGUCCUGUGGGCGUGUCGCACUCAGAGAGAAACGCGAUAAGAUAUCGGCAACCAAAGACAGAUUACAUCACGCAGGAAAUUUGCUAGAUGAAGAUACAAGAAGAGGGCUUAAGCGGACAUCCAUGAAAAAAUCAAACAAAAAUGAAAAUUUUCUGGCAAGGCUCAAAAAUUCAAAUUGUCUUUAUUUUUGCACUCAAGUAGCUCUUAGAAAGACAAGAACUGAACUUUGUGUAUUUUUUCCCCCAACUAUGAUCUUUCCUUUUGAGAAAAAUGAACAUGUCGCUUUUACCUCUCAGAAUCGAUGGAUCGGGUUAUAACAGGUCGAAAAUUGAGCACUUUUGCUCGCUUUGUGUUUCAAAGAUAAUGGGUUUCGAGAAAUCUAAUCAACGUGUACUCUUUCACAGACUCUUUGUCUUCUGUAAAAUGUCAGUUUGAUAGGAAUAGGCCCUUUGCAGCUAGAGGUCACGUGCUUGGAAACCCCAUAGCAACGCCUUGCUGUACUGCAAACGUUCCAGUAAACGAAAGUUCUAUAGAGGUCAAGCACGUGUGGUUUCAAACAAAAGUUUCAAGCGUUUUAGAGACUUAGUUCUUUUUAACUUUGUCAUUAUUGUCAAGUAUCGUACUGAACCCUAGUUUUGGAUUAUAUUGAGAACCGACUGCUGUUUCAAACGCCCGCUUCAGGAAGGUUUGCGGAUGCAAACACUUGUCGUGACGAAACAAAAUGGCGACUUCGCAAGGUAACACCGGGGAUGAUGUCUAUGAAACUACUGCUACGAAAGUUCGUGGAAAGUCCACAAGUUUCCACUGUUGAGUUCCCCGUUGUAGCGGAGAUUCGAGGUAUGACAGCGAUCUAAGUUUUCAUCGAAUACCCGGUCGACCAGGCAAUGACGAUAUACGAAAACAGUGGCUUCUGAAAAUACGAAGAGACGAAGGCCCAAAUUCAAGAUUUCUACCGCUUCAAGGGUAUGUUCCCGGCAUUUUAUUGAUGAGGAUUACCUUGCACCGGAUAAAGCUGGGCGUAGAUUGCUUAAGAGGGGAGCUGUUCCUUUGAAGUUUGACUGGACUUCUGAGCCGAAAGUGAGGAGGAAGAUUAUACGACACACAGAUGGGGAUAUGCAGGCAGAUGAGUCAGAGUCAGAGUCAGAAAUCAACAAGACACCAAUUAUGGAUACUCAAAAGAAGGAAAUUCAAGCACUGUAAGCUGAAUUGCUAGCAACAAAAAAGCAAUUUAGCUGAAAGCCAGAAUGAAACUGCUGUUGCUAUCAGAGAGGUGCAUGUUAUGAAAGACAAAGCUAAGACAAUAAAAGCCCAAGCUGAUAAGGAGUUAGCUUACUUGAAAAGGCAAGCUACAGAACAGCUUGCUCUACUCAAAUUCGAAAUAUUUUCUUCUGACAAAGAUUCUAUUCGGUUUUACACUAGUUUUCCGUCAUAUCAACACUUGAGGAUUUUUUUUGACUUUGUUAGACCAACGGCAGAAAAUAUGACCUAUUGCUAUGCAUCAGGUGAAAGAGAGGGUAGGCCCGGUGCUAGGAGCAUGCUCUUAAUUGAUGAAAUGUUCCUUGUUCGAUUAAAACUUGGGUUGUUUGUGCAAGAUUUAGCUCAUCGUUUUCAAAUUCACUAGAUGUAGUGGGAUUUUAGAUCUACUAGAGCAAGGGGAUUCGGUCAUGGCCGACAAAGGAUUUGACAUUGACGCUUUGUUAAAUGCAAAAAAUGUAGAAUUGACUAUUCUUCCCUUUCUUGAGGACCAAACACAGUUUUAAAGACCAAGGCAAUCGCUAGUUUAGGAAUUCAUGUAGAGAGGGCAAUCAGAAGAAUUAAGGAGUACCAUUUUUUUUAUUCUGAUGUGCCGCUAACAACACUAGGCUCAAUGACUCAAAUUUAUACUGUUGCGUAUUGAGUAUUACUAGUUUUCAUAUACUCGCACAUCUCUCCAGCUUGGGAACAUGCAUUAAAAACUUGGCACAGAUAUAGACCCAAACGGUCUCAGAACUUCGAGUAAAAAGGGCGUCAGGGCUAGGAGCUUUGUUUGUGUUCAUUUUAUUCAGAGUGACAGUAAUUUCCUCGAGCGUCAAGUCACCUUCGCAAGAGGAUGCGUGAUGGGACAUGAGUUGACGA
rnacentral:lncRNA from 1 species